rnacentral:misc_RNA from 1 species
GAAAUGCGAUAAGUAAUGUGAAUUGCAGAAUUCAGGGAAUCAUCGAAUCUUUGAACGCACAGUGCGCCCGCCAGUAUUCUGGCGGGCAUGCCUGUUCGAGCGUCAUUACAACCCUCAGGCCCCCGGGCCUGGCGUUGGGGAUCGGCGGAAUCCCCCUGCGGGCACAACGCCGUCCCCCAAAUACAGUGGCGGUCCCGCCGCAGCUUCCAUUGCGUAGUAGCUAACACCUCGCAACUGGAGAGCGGCGCGGCCACGCCGUAAAACACCCAACUUCUGAAUGUUGACCUCGAAUCAGGUAGGAAUACCCGCUGAACUUAAGC